GCCUACUGUCAUACCACCCUGAGCGUGCCCAGUCUUGUCUGAUCUUGGAAGCUAAGCAGGGUUGGGCCUGGUUAGUACUUGGAUGGGUUAGAGAUGUUUGUCAGACAAGGUGCAGAUUCU
rnacentral:rRNA from 1 species